AAUGUAGAUAAGGGAAGUCGGCAAAAUGGAUCCGUAACUUCGGGAUAAGGAUUGGCUCUAAGGGUCGGGCCCGCUGGGCCUUGGGGGAAACCCCUCGGAGCAGGGGGGCACUAGCCGGGCAACCGGCCGGCGCCCCCCAGCACUGGGGUGGGGACGCCCUUGGCAGGCUUCGGCCGUCCGGCGGGCGCUUAACGACCAACUUAGAACUGGUACGGACAAGGGGAAUCUGACUGUCA
rnacentral:rRNA from 1 species